rnacentral:rRNA from 1 species
GACGAACGCUGGCGGCGUGCUUAACACAUGCAAGUCGAACGGAAAGGCCCUGCUUUUGUGGGGUGCUCGAGUGGCGAACGGGUAAGUAACACGUGAGUAACCUGCCCUUGACUUUGGGAUAACUUCAGGAAACUGGGGCUAAUACCGGAUAGGAGCUCCUGCUGCAUGGUGGGGGUUGGAAAGUUUCGGCGGUUGGGGAUGGACUCGCGGCUUAUCAGCUUGUUGGUGGGGUAGUGGCUUACCAAGGCUUUGACGGGUAGCCGGCCUGAGAGGGUGACCGGCCACAUUGGGACUGAGAUACGGACCAGAGUCCUACGGGAGGCAGCAGUGGGGAAUAUUGCACAAUGGGCGGAAGCCUGAUGCAGCAACGCCGCGUGCGGGAUGACGGCCUUCGGGUUGUAAACCGCUUUCGCCUGUGACGAAGCGUGAGUGACGGUAAUGGGUAAAGAAGCACCGGCUAACUACGUG